GACGAACGCUGGCGGCGUGCUUAACACAUGCAAGUCGAACGAAGUGGCGAACGUGUGAGUAACGCGUAAGCAACCUGCCCUUCAGAGGGGGACAACAGUUGGAAACGACUGCUGAUAACGAAUACUGAAGGGGGGGAGUGCGUUUGAUUAGGGAGUUGGAGGGGGAACGGCCCACCAAGGCGAUGAUCAGUAGCCCGUCUGAGGGGAUGAACGGCGACAUUGGGACUGAGACAACGCCCAGACUCCUACGGGAGGCAGCAGUGGGGAAUCUUCCGCAAUGGAAGAAAGUCUGAAGGAGCAACGCCGCGUGAGCGAUGACGGCCUUCGGGUUGUAAAGCUCUGUUAAUCCGGACGCGGUACCGGAAGAGAAAGCCACGGCUAACUACGUGCCAGCAGCCGCGGUAAUAC
rnacentral:rRNA from 1 species